rnacentral:rRNA from 1 species
UAGGGAAUCUUCCGCAAUGGACGAAAGUCUGACGGAGCAACGCCGCGUGAGUGAAGAAGGAUUUCGGUUCGUAAAACUCCGUUGUUAGGGAAGAAAAAAUGUAUAGUAACUAUAUACAAAAGAGACGGUACCUAACCAGAAAGCCACGGCUAACUACGUGCCAGCAGCCGCGGUAAUACGUAGUUGGCAAGCGUUGUCCGGAAUUAUUGGGCGUAAAGCGCGCGCAGGUGGUUUAGAAAGUCUGAUGUGAAAGCCCACGGCUCAACUGUGGAGGGUCAUUGGAAACUAAUAAACUUGAGAGCAGGAGAGAAAAGUGGAAUUCCUAGUGUAGCGGUGAAAUGCGUAGAGAUUAGGAGGAACACCGGUGGCGAAAGCGGCUCUCUGGUCUGUAACUGACGCUGAGGCUCGAAAGCGUGGGGAGCGAACAGG